AUAUCAAUAAGCGGAGGAAAAGAAACUAACAAGGAUUCCCCUAGUAACUGCGAGUGAAGCGGGAARAGCUCAAAUUUAAAAUCUGUCAGUCUUUGGCUGUCCGAGUUGUAAUCUAGAGAAGCGUUAUCCGCGCUGGACCGUGUACAAGUCUCCUGGAAUGGAGCGUCAUAGAGGGUGAGAAUCCCGUCUUUGACACGGACUGCCAGGGCUUUGUGAUGCGCUCUCAAAGAGUCGAGUUGUUUGGGAAUGCAGCUCAAAAUGGGUGGUAAAUUCCAUCUAAAGCUAAAUAUUGGCGAGAGACCGAUAGCGAACAAGUACCGUGAGGGAAAGAUGAAAAGAACUUUGGAAAGAGAGUUAAACAGUACGUGAAAUUGCUGAAAGGGAAACGCUUGAAGUCAGUCGCGUUGUCCAGGGAUCAACCUUGCUUUUGCUUGGUGUACUUUCUGGUUGACGGGUCAGCAUCAAUUUUGACUAUUGGAAAAAGAUUAGGGGAAUGUAGCAUCUUCGGAUGUGUUAUAGCCCUUGGUUGCAUACAAUGGUUGGGAUUGAGGAACUCAGCACGCCGCAAGGCCGGGUUUUAACCACGUCCGUGCUUAGGAUGCUGGCAUAAUGGCUUUAAUCGACCCGUCUUGAAACACGGACCAAGGAGUCUAACAUGCCUGCGAGUGUUUGGGUGGAAAACCCGAGCGCGUAAUGAAAGUGAAAGUUGAGAUCCCUGUCAUGGGGAGCAUCGACGCCCGGACCAGACCUUUUGUGACGGUUCCGCGGUAGAGCAUGUAUGUUGGGACCCGAAAGAUGGUGAACUAUGCCUGAAUAGGGUGAAGCCAGAGGAAACUCUGGUGGAGGCUCGUAGCGAUUCUGACGUGCAAAUCGAUCGUCAAAUUUGGGUAUAGGGGCGAAAGACUAAUCGAACCAUCUAGUAGCUGGUUCUG
rnacentral:rRNA from 1 species